rnacentral:tRNA from 1 species
ACCUGUGUGACAACCGGUUAGAGUAUCGCUUUCAUACGGCGAGAGUCAUUGGUUCAAAUCCAAUAGUAGGUA